UACGAAGGGGGCUAGCGUUGUUCGGAAUUACUGGGCGUAAAGCGUUUGUAGGCGGUUGAACAAGUCAGUGGUGAAAGCCCAGGGCUUAACCCUGGAAUUGCCAUUGAAACUGUUCAGCUAGAGAGUGUUAGAGGAAAGUGGAAUUCCUAGUGUAGGAGUGAAAUCCGUAGAGAUUAGGAGGAAUAUCGAUGGCGAAGGCAGCUUUCUGGGACAUUUCUGACGCUGAGAAACGAAAGCGUGGGUAGCAAACAGG
rnacentral:rRNA from 1 species